rnacentral:rRNA from 1 species
CUCGUAGGCGGUUCAACAAGUCGGUCGUGAAAGCCCGGGGCUCAACCCCGGGACGCCGGUCGAAACUGUUGUGACUAGGGUCCGGUAGAGGUGAGUGGAAUUCUCGGUGUAGCGGUGGAAUGCGCAGAUAUCGAGAGGAACACCAGUAGCGAAGGCGGCUCACUGGGCCGGUACCGACGCUGAGGAGCGAAAGCAUGGGGAACAAACA